UACGGAGGGGGCGAGCGUUAUUCGGAAUUAUUGGGCGUAAAGGGUGUGUAGGUGGCGCCGUAAGUCGGGUGUGAAAUUUCGGAGCUUAACUCCGAAACUGCAUUCGAUACUGCGGUGCUUGAGGACUGGAGAGGAGACUGGAAUUCAUGGUGUAGCAGUGAAAUGCGUAGAGAUCAUGAGGAAGACCAGUGGCGAAGGCGGGUCUCUGGACAGUUCCUGACACUGAGACACGAAGGCCAGGGGAGCAAACGGG
rnacentral:rRNA from 1 species